CCUACGGGGGGCUGCAGUGGGGGAUAUUGGACAAUGGGGGGAACCCUGAUCCAGCGACGCCGCGUGAGUGAAGAAGUAUUUCGGUAUGUAAAGCUCUGUCAGCAGGGAAGAAAGCAAUGACGGUACCUGACCAAGAAGCCCCGGCUAACUACGUGCAAGCAGCCGCGGUAAUACGUAGGGGGCAAGCGUUAUCCGGAAUUACUGGGUGUAAAGGGAGCGUAGACGGCUGUGCAAGUCUGGGGUGAAAGGCGGGGGCCCAACCCCCGGACUGCUCUUGAAACUGUAUGGCUGGAGUGCAGGGGAGGUAAGCGGAAUUCGUGGUGGAGCGGUGAAAUGCGUAGAUAUUAGGAGGAACACCGGUGGCGAAGGCAGCUUACUAGACUGUAACUGACGUUGAGGCUCGAAAGCGUGGGGAGCAAACAGGAUUAGAUACCCUAGUAGUC
rnacentral:rRNA from 1 species